ACUCUAAUUAUCAUUGCCUGUGUUCAAACCCACCAUGGAGCUUCAUGUGGUGGCCUUGUCUGCAACCACUUAUCCUUGGCAGUACAGCAUGAAGUUACUGUAUAAGGAAAGUCCAUUCGUGAGUGCUAGCUGAACUUAAUUUUAAAGUGCAUUAGCCAUAAAAGGGAAGCCUCAAGACUCAAGAAGGACCAAGUGAACUACAUGAACGGUUGUCUCAAGGAGCAUGGGAUUCUUGUGGAGGGUGACGAGGCUAUUCUGACACUGGCCCUUGUGUGCACUCGCUCCAGAGACCUUGUGACGGGGGAAGCCUUAAGAAGACGAGUGUUC